AAAAGGUUGAUGCUAACUUGGCUGAAGGCUCUUGGCACAGGAAGGGCGGAGGCCUGUGCCGCCCAGAACAUACCACAAGUCCCUCUAGGGCUGCAAUAGGGCUUAGAUGCUGGCCUAAGAACUUGUAAAAUAGUCAUAGGGAGGAAUUACUCUGAUACCCCUAAGAAUGGUUACCCUGGUGGAGGAAUAUGCUAGCAUAUUCUAUCACCGUCAUGGGGCAUUAUGGUAACAAGCUGUAAUUGGAAUCUAAGCCCUAUAAAAGGGGUUGUAAAUGCUAUCUGAGGAGUUAGUUGAAAGUCUUUAAUUCAUACUCGUUUCCCAACGUCUUCCGUUUCAUCCCACGUAUGGCGAACUAUGUCCUUGAUGUAUCGAGCAAGGAGACCCACUCUUCACUCUAGUGCAGGCCUUUCGUCUGAGCCAGGUUGGAGGGCCUUUAUUGACCCAUUGUCAAUGACGUUCGACAACAAUGGUAUAAGUUGCUCACACAUGUACAUGUGGACUAAUUACCUGUGUAUCUCACAUAAAUAGUAUUAGUCCACCUAAGGUUGUCA
rnacentral:lncRNA from 1 species